UAGCUGCCUUCCAAGCAGUUGACCCGGG
rnacentral:piRNA from 4 species